GUCAGGCAUGGUGGUGCAUGCCUGUAAUCUCAGCAACUUAAGAGGCUGAGGCAGGAGGAUCACAAGUUCAAGGCCAGCAUCAGCAACUUCAUGAGUCCCUAAGCAACUUAGUGAUCCUGUCUCAA
rnacentral:sRNA from 1 species